AGAUGCAUGAAAGGAUGUAUGACCUGUUGUAGGUGCUCGAACACCCCUCAACUUGAUAUGGAGGAAGUGAUUGGAAGAAACUAGGCUUGUAAAAAUGUGGAGGGCCAAAGAUGUACCAAAAGAUUGAAUGAGAGGCAACUUACAAUACUUCUUAAGGUGACAUGCAAGAGACCAUAGGAUAGGCAAAUCAAUAUUUUGCAGGCUGUCUAUCACAAUGCAUAGCAGAUCUGUUUACUAUGUUAUGCUUCGAGUGGGAGCACUUGGGAUCUUAUGCUUCAACAGAUGAAAUCACUUGAGGAUCUUUGUGCACUUCUGUGUUCUAUGGUGGUGCUACAAAUGUGGUCAUCUGCUUGCCUGAGAAGAAGACUAGCAAACCAUCUGUAUGGGCUUCCUUUCUACACAAUUAUAAGUUCCUGCAUUCUAUUAAUGAUUGAUGGGUAAAGGUUUUCAUACACAUGAAAAGGCGGAAAUGUUACAAAUCAAGUUUUCUGUGAUCAAUAUUUUUUGGCAAGUAUCUUCUUGGUUGAUUUAUGGCUGAGGAUGUUUUCUGGAAACAAUUUUUUCUUUGAGAGUGCUAUUGUUUGGGAAAACGGUAGUUUGGCAUGCCUUUUGGAUCCAUAUGGUAGGACAGUUAGCAACUUAAAUUCGGUUCAACGUUUGAAAACCCUUAUUUGGAAGUUAUGGUGGUUGUAUAGUGUUGUUUCACCCUAUGUCUCAUAGGUACGAGUACGGAUGCACAGCUUAUGAGAAAUUUAGUCUUCAUGAUGGUAGUUUUUAUUUAAAAGUUGUAUUGAAGUUAUUUAGAAAUCAAAUACAGAAAUUGUUCAUUAAAUCCCCUCAUUAAUACAGUUUUUAUGUAGUAGGUUAGUAAAUUGGGCUCUCUCUUUCACACACACAUCUAUUACGCCUCUUUUUAGUUAAUCUUUAUUAUUAUAGCAUUAAAUAUGUUGUUAACAUUCAUUAUUAUCAUUAAUAUAGUUUUUAUGUAGUAGGUUCGCAGAUUGGGUUGUCUAUCCCCCUCUCGUUUAUUAUGCCCCUUUUUAGCUAAUUUUCAUUAUUAUAGCUGUAAAUAUGCAAUUAACAUUCAUUAUUAUAGCAUCUUCAUUAUUGCAACAUUAAAUAUAGAGUUAAGUUUCAUUAUUACCAUAUUAAAUAGUAUUUAAAAACCCUAAAUUUCAACAAAAAGACUCGAAAAAAAGGUCAACUUUGACCUACUCUUAAAAUAGACAAGUACGGUCCUGGGUACAAUGACUGUAUUUGGUGCGAUUUUAUUUUUGACCGUACCCAGCAUCGCACUAGUACUUUGAUUUGGGGCAUGGACUGCCCAUAUUUAAUUAAUUUCCUUUCUCUAAGUGGUUAUAAACAUUAUUCAGAUUUAUGAUUCUUUUUUCAAUCAUUUCUGGAAACCUUUCAAUCUUUGAUGCAAUUGUUUGUUAUGUUAUAUGUGUUCAUGAAAAUGGAGGUUAAGUUGUAAUUUACAACUUAUGUUUAUUCAUUAUGUUGAAUAAUUGAUCUGUUGGCAAUUCCAUCUUUUUGAUGGAUAAGUUUUGAUUAAUGUUUGUGCUGGAAUAUGUAUUAAUUUACAAAUUUGUAAAUUGUUAUGUUAUAUGUGUUCAAAAAUCUCUUUGUUGGUUUCUGCUAAUAUUGACCUCCAUAAUUAAAACAUAAAGAACAAUGGAUUCGUGGGAUUCCUUCUAGUAGUAUGCAGUUGAGCAUCUGCCUCUGGAUAAGGACACAGUACCUCUUAACUGCAUUGCUUGUCCAUUGUUUUAGUUCCUUUUGCAUGUGUACGGUUUUUAUUGGGUGCUGCUAAUGUUGUCCUCUAAUUAAAGCUUGAAGAACACUGAACUUGCGGUCUUCCUUCCGAAAGUAGUGUAGUGAUCAUCUUCUUUUGGGUACAUAUGGGAUACGGGACAUACUUAAAUGAAUUGCUAGUUCUUUGUUGGUUAUUUCAAGCUUUUAUUGAAAUGAGUUGGUAGUUCUUUGUUGUUUUAUUUCAACAUUGGUUUUUAUUGCUGGUCAGGUUGCAUCCCUUAUUCUUCCUUGUUCAACCAUUAUUCAUCUUAAUCCACAUAAAUCAUUGUCAUUUUAUAGGUCUUGUUUAGUUGACACUCUGUGCUCUUCUAUGUCCUAUAUUUUUCUCAAUGAGAGCUGGGUUAGAUUCUUAAGCUGAAGCGUUCUUCCUAUUUUUCUUUGACCUUCCUUCCAUUCUUUAGUGCUUGCAUUAUAUAGAUAUACCAUUUUGGCCAGUCAGUUUAUAAGCUAUUUUUUGUGCCCAGAGGCUUUUUGAUCUUUAUGUCAAUCUUCUACAUAUCAAGUUACAACAAGUUCCACCGCUAUGCCCUUUUUGAAACGCAAUCAUUUCACAACACAUUCGUCGUUUGCGUUUCCAACUGAAUUGUGGGUUAGAAAAGCUAGUGGUGUUUGGUGGUUUUGUUAACCAUUGUGGGUUAUAACCAUUGUGCUAGCUGCUGUGCUUCAACCUAUGAAAUGUUGGUGUAGAUCCUGUCCACUUCUGCUUUCACUUUCAGAAACACACCUAUGUUUUGCACGGCUCAAACAAGAAUAAUCUUUUUCCGACUAACCCUAGGCUAUAACUUAAGCUGGUGUAUUUGGUGUGAUAAAAUAGCUACAAUACUCUCAAAUAAAAUAAAUUUUAUGAUCAUUUGUUUAUAAUCUCUUCAAACAUACCCAAUAAUCAGUGGGUCAACUAUAUGCACUUUAGUUUAUUUUUCUAAUCUAAACAGUUGGGUGUGACUUUUUUCUGUUUUACCAAUUCUAGGACGUUGUAAGGCAAACUAAUGUAUCCAUGAAGCUAUUUUCCUUUUCAUGUCGAUUUUUAAGAGGCAAAAAAGUAGCCUUUUACUGAUUUGAUAAUCACUUCGACAGAAAGUAAUCUUUAUGGUGGACUUCAUUAUUAAUAUUGGGAAAACUUUGGGGAAUUUUGGUAUGAUUUGAAAAAUCUCCACCUUUUUGUGUUUUAUUAUUUUUUAGAUAAAUGGUUGGUCCCCUUCCGAUAGACCUUAUGAGUUAAUAUGCUCGAGCAAUAGAGAAGUAAUGGAGAAGAGAAUUAUUGCAACAAUGAGAAAGCCCAAAAGGGACGUAAAUCUCCGGGUACAAACCCGAUAAAAUGUAGAAUGCAGCCUUCUUUCACUAAUCAUUCAUGCAUGAAUCGAAACCCAAUUCAUUACAAAUAGUUGACAAUCAAUAUUCAUGCAAAACCUACACAUGCACGCGAGCAGCUGCUCAGUUUUUGUGAAGGAUGCUAUUGGUUAGUCCCCCCCUAAGAUAGCGGUGUUGAGCUUCUAGAUGCUUAUCUGCCAACCAACAAAAGUGGAAUUCACUUGGUAUGUUCCUCAAGGUUGAAUGUUAAGCUCGUUGUCCAAGGCAUUCCUAUAUAUUUCAAGGAGGUUUUACGUAGAAUCUGUAUUUGCUGUGAAAAAAAAAAAAUUUAAAUGUUAUGACCAGUAAGUUAUUGAAAGGCUCCAUCUCAUACAUAAUGGAAAGCUAUUUGUUUGGCUAUCUGCUUGUAUUGAGAGCAACUGAAGUUGUCAUGUUUAUUAUUUCUAGUGAAAGCAAGCAUGUUCUAGGAAGCUUAGGUAGCAUUUAUUAGUUUAUUGCCUUUAUGCAAUUCAUGUAUUAUCUUUGUCUUAACAGUUCAUUUUAUUUGCAUUAACUCCUGAAUACUAUUAUUUUCAGUAAAGUUCUGGUUUUGGUUUUGAAAGAAAAAAAAAAAUGCAGCCUAUAAUAUGAGAUGCUCGAUAAAUAUGCCAUCAUAAUCCGAAAUUGUGGCAGCUAUUUAUGGGACAAAUUGUGUUCAAUCAUAAUAUGUCCUGAAACCAAGGAUGUAAAUGGGUCGGUUGAUCCAAGGUCGAGCCCAAAUUGGGUCCAUGUAGUUAGAUCCGGCAACUCCUAAAGGAUUUGAACCUGGGCCUGAAUCCAAAAUACGGUAAAUGGCUUGGGGUCAAUUAUACAUAAAAUUUUUUAUCUUAGAUGCAGAUUUGAUUUUAAAAUUUCAAGUAUGAAUGCGAACAGGUGGUAUGACUUGAAAUGGAAGGGCGUAAAAGGGCUAUAUGGAUCUUUCCUUAUACUGUUAGGAACAAGAACCCCAAAGAUUAGAGCAGAAUUUGAAGCUGUCAUCGUUGGCUACCCAUUACAUCUUUCAUCUAUGAGUCAUCAUUAAGUGAUUAUUUUUAACAUUAGUUUGCAUGUCACUGUUUAAAAAAAAAUGGUGAAAAGGGGUGUUCAUAUUUGAUGCCUAAUUAAUAUGUUAGCAAGUUUUUUGUGGUAGUUUUUAAAUGACUGCCUGAUUAGCACGUGAAUCUGGAGGGGUAAUCUACAUAAUUACCAGUAUGAAAACAAAAUAUCUAAAGGAAAAAAGAAGAAUAGAAUAAUAAAAAAAAAACCAUCACUAUCUUGCCAAACACAAUUAAGGGUGGGCAUCGGUCCGGGCCGUCAGUGGCCUGGCUUGGGCCAGCAUUUUUCGGGCCUGGGCCAGGCUCGGGCCCGAUAGGCCGGCCCGGUUCGUCCGGUUUUAGUUUUAAAAAUAUAUAUUUUUUAAAUUUUUUAUUUUAAUAAUAUAUAUUUAUUAUUAAUAAAUAUAUUUUAUAAUUAAAAUUUAUUUUUUAUUUUUAAACUUGUCAGGGGCCGAGACCCGGGGUAUCAUGACGGGUAGACCGAGGUUCAUUGCAACUUCCAAUGCCCGUCACUUGCUGCCAGCCCUUGCAGGACAAGGAGACUGGCUCUCUAGUGAGUGUUAAAAUAAUUUUGACAUUUUUUUAAUUUAUAAAUAACAUGUUUUGGAUUUGUAAGGAGAAGUCGGUAAAUUAUUCCAUUAAAAUUCGUGUUUUAAAUACAGAAGCAUCAAUUCAAGAAUUACAGUCAAAGCUUAACAACCUACUUUAGAAGGGGAGCGGUUUUUUGUAAAUUUCUUUUUUAAACGACAUUUAUUCACUUGCAUCUCUAGUUUUUCUUUUUCAUUUUAUUUCCUUUUUUACCAUUUGGAAGUGCUGGGAGGUAUGAUCUCUACUUUUAUUCACAGCAGAUGGAUGUGUACACUGACAGUGAUUCGAGAAUUGCGGUCAAUAACUAUACAACCUACAUUAAAAAAGGUGGGCACCAUUUUUGUAAUUUUUUUUUCUUUUUUAUUGUAAACCACAUUCAAUCACUUGCAUCCCUAGUUUCUUUAAGCAUUAUGAACUAUUUAUUGAGUAAAUAAGAAUAGUUCAAUGCUCUGCAUAUGUGGCAAAAUGUUGUAUGCAUCUUCGAAUCUAUAUACUGAUGGUGACAACAGUAAAAUGCCAACGUGAAGAUAUUCAACCAAGUGUCAUUUUUAUCCCUUUGUA